GGGGGAUAUUGCGCAAUGGGGGCAACCCUGACGCAGCAACGCCGCGUGAAGGAUGAAGGUUUUCGGAUUGUAAACUUCUUUUAUUAAGGACGAAACUUGACGGUACUUAAUGAAUAAGCUCCGGCUAACUACGUGCCAGCAGCCGCGGUAAUACGUAGGGAGCAAGCGUUGUCCGGAUUUACUGGGUGUAAAGGGUGCGUAGGCGGCUUUGCAAGUCAGAUGUGAAAUCUAUGGGCUCAACCCAUAAACUGCAUUUGAAACUGUAGAGUUUGAGUGAAGUAGAGGCAGGCGGAAUUCCCCGUGUAGCGGUGAAAUGCGUAGAGAUGGGGAGGAACACCAGUGGCGAAGGCGGCCUGCUGGGCUUUAACUGACGCUGAGGCACGAAAGCGUGGGUAGCAAACAGGAUUAGAUACCCUGGUAGUCCACGCUGUAAACGAUGAUUACUAGGUGUGGGGGGUCUGACCCCUUCCGUGCCGGAGUUAACACAAUAAGUAAUCCACCUGGGGAGUACGGCCGCAAGGUUGAAACUCAAAGGAAUUGACGGGGGCCCGCACAAGCAGUGGAGUAUGUGGUUUAAUUCGAAGCAACGCGAAGAACCUUACCAGGUCUUGACAUCCAACUAACGAAGUAGAGAUACAUUAGGUGCCCUUCGGGGAAAGUUGAGACAGGUGGUGCAUGGUUGUCGUCAGCUCGUGUCGUGAGAUGUUGGGUUAAGUCCCGCAACGAGCGCAACCCUUGCUAUUAGUUGCUACGCAAGAGCACUCUAAUAGGACUGCCGUUGACAAAACGGAGGAAGGUGGGGACGACGUCAAAUCAUCAUGCCCCUUAUGACCUGGGCUACACACGUACUACAAUGGAUGUUAACAGAGGGAAGCAAGACAGCGAUGUGGAGCAAACCCCUAAAAACAUUCUCAGUUCAGAUUGCAGGCUGCAACCCGCCUGCAUGAAGAUGGAAUUGCUAGUAAUCGCGGAUCAGCAUGCCGCGGUGAAUACGUUCCCG
rnacentral:rRNA from 1 species